GACGAACGCUGGCGGCGUGCUUAACACAUGCAAGUCGAACGAAGUGGCGAACGGGUGAGUAACGCGUAAUCAACCUGCCCUUCAGGGGGGGACAACAGUUGGAAACGACUCCUAAUCCCGCAUACUGAAGGAGGGGAUUGCGUCUGAUUAGCUCGGUGGAGGGGUAACGGCCCACCAAGGCGAUGAUCAGUAGGCGGGUUGAGGGGAUGAACGGCCAAAUUGGGAAUGAGACCCGGCCCAGACUCCUACGGGAGGCAGCAGUGGGGAAUCUUCCGCAAUGGAGGGAAGUCUGACGGAGCAACGCCGCGUGAGUGAUGACGGCCUUCGGGUUGUAAAGCUCUGUUAAUCGGGACGCGGUACCGGAAUAGAAAGCCACGGCUAACUACGUGCCAGCAGCCGCGGUAAUAC
rnacentral:rRNA from 1 species